GAUGGGACAUGAUUCAGCGUGUCUGUGUGUGUGUGCACGGGAAAGCCUGGGAUGGGACAGGUUAAGUGUGUGUGUGUGUGUGUGUGCAUGUGAAAGCCUGGGAUGGGACAGGUUAAGUGUGUGUGUGUGUUUACGUGAAAGCCUGGGAUGGGACAGGUUAAGUGUGUGUGUGUGUUUACGUGAAAGCCUGGGAUGGGACAGGUUAAGUGUGUGUGUGUGUGUGUGUGUUUACGUGAAAGCCUGGGAUGGGACAAGUUAAGUGUGUGUGUGUGUUGUGUGUGCACGUGAUAGCCUGGGAUGGGACAGGUUAAGUGUGUGUGUGUGUGUACGUGGAAGCCUGGGGUGGGACCAGUUAAGUGUGUGUGUGUGUGUGCACGUGAAAGCCUGGGAUGGGACAGGUUAAGUGUGUGUGUGUGUGUGUGCACGUGAAAGCCUGGGAUGGGACAGGUUAAGCACUCUCCCCCAGUG
ensembl:lncRNA